ensembl:miRNA
UCAAGCCUGUGCCCGGCAGCCACUGAGAACUACGUCUGCUCUGAGCUGGGUACUGCCUGUUCAGAACAAACACCAGUUUCUAGAAUGUGGCCAAAUGGCC